GUGCCGAAGUUAAGGCUUGAAGCCGCCUCCAAAGCACUUCAUCCUCUCUUCCCUCGUCCUCCCUCUCUUCUCUUACCUGCCAAUAGAAUCACCUUAUAACGAGUAAACAGAACAAGGAAGAGUGAGGCAAGCGAAGAGGGGAAGUGGAAGCGUACAAGGCAAUGGUGGGCGCCUUGUCAUCGUCCUCCUCCUCGUGCGCCUCCUUCGGCUCCUUCGAGGAGGACGUACCCGCCGCCGCCAAGCCCUCCCCCGGCGCCGCUUCCGUCAAGUUCCUCUGCAGCUACGGCGGCAGGAUCCUCCCCCGCUACCCCGAUGGCAAGCUCCGCUAUGUCGGCGGCGACACCCGCGUUCUCUCCGUCGACCGAUCUGUCCCCUUCUCAGAGUUGCGGGAGAAGAUGAGGGAGCUGUGCGGGUGGGGCGCGGUGAGCGUCCGGUGCCAGCUGCCGACGGAGGACCUCGACGCCCUCGUCUCCGUCAAGUCCGACGAGGACCUCACCAACGUGGUGGAGGAGUACGAUCUCGCCGGGCGCGAGAAGAUCCGGGCCUUUCUGUUCCCCCCCUCCAACAAAGGCGGCGGCGAGAGCCCUACCCAUCGGGCCACGCCGAUCUCGGUGGCGGUGCCCGCUGAGCGCUGCGUCCACCAGAUCUCCGCGCCGGCGAGGCCCGCCGGCCGGUUCGAGAAGCCCCCCGCCGCCGGGGAUCUUCGCCACCACGGACACCACCACCACCUCCACGGCCGUCAUGCGGCCCCCAGGCCGUGCAACUACCUCGUGCACCACGGAAGCCACUGGCAAUGAUACAAUCACCACCACCACCAUCGCCAGUGUUUUUGGGCGAAGAACUCGAGGUUACUUUACGGCGGAGGGAACCCUUUUCUUCAGGGGACCGAAUAAUUUUUUAUCAGGAAAUACAAAGAAAAUCUAAUUAUUAUUAUUUUAUGAAGAUAAAAAUAUACAAAUUCUUCAUAUUUUAUUUUUUUUCUACAACAUUCUUACCCAAUUGGGCCUCUUUUUUUUUGUGUUCAUCCUAAGUUAAGUUGAUGAAACCAAUAUUUUUGGAUAUAUAUAUAUAUAUAUACAUAUAUAAUUUUUUCGAUAGUUUUCAUUAUUUUUACAAGCUUUGAUGUGGUUUAAAACUCUUUUUUCAUAGUUUUAGCUGGAAAAUCUUUUGCAACUUUUUGUUCUUUCUAGUUCAUGAUUGCUAGUGAAUGAGCAGAGAUCCCUUGACCAGUGUGCCAAGUUCUCAUCUUUUUUGGCCUUUUCCACUCCUUACAAGGUGGGAAGAGAUGGUGAGAUGUGAUAUGGACUUUUAGUUCCGAUUGAGGCCAAGCCUGCCUAAGCUUAGAUAUGUUAAAUCAACUCUUGUGCUGCUAAAUGACUUAAACCUCCAACUCAAGUUUGAUCCGACCUUUAAUAUAUAUGUAAAUUGGAAUAUAUAUGUCUUGACCUUCUUGGAAUUUUUGUUUUUGUGAUUGUUCUUUUUGACAUUUCAAAUUUUAGUCUAUCUUUGUUUCAAGUUUUUGUUUUUUCAAUAAUGCUUUAAAUAAUGAUGAUAUUUUGGGUUAGUGAGUGAGUUGAAUUGGUCAGACUAUCAUAUAUGAUGGUUGGAUACAAAUGCCACUCAAGAUAUUAGUUGAAGCUAAUACAUGACAAUCUUACUCUUUUUUGUCCUUGACAAAACAAGAUUAAUCUCUAACCUCUUUUUUUUUUCUCUCUAUCUGGUACAUCAGAACAAUUUCCAAUAUUUUUACACAUCAAUAUCUAAUUGUUCUUUCUCUUCCCAUGAGCUGCACAUAUUUUUAUGGUAUCAUAAACACAUUUCAUAAUGACUCUUUCAAGUUUUCUGAAGCUUUCAUCUCAAUUUCCCAUUCUAAAAGCAAUUUUAGACAGUCUUUUGAUUUAUUAUUUUUUUCAUCUGAUUUUUUAGUUGUCACCAUUAGUAUCCUCUUUGUUUUUUAUGAUUGUCAAUAUUAGAGGAGAAAUCUAAGAGACACUAAUUUAAUUUAUUCAUCACUAUUCUUCCUAUUUUUCAAAUCUAAUCUCACCUACUUCAAGAUUUGUUAACUAUCAACCUUUAGAAAUAAUGUGUAUAAAUAGGCAUAUGUAAUAUGCAUUGGUAUGUCUGCAAGCUUAAGAGAAAUAAAUAGGAACAUGCAUGCAAAUGAAUCAAAGUGUCUUGAUCAAAUGCAUGGUGGAAAGAUUACAUUCCCUUAGGAUCAAACAUCAUAUGCUCAAAAUAGGCAAAUGUUUAUCCACUAUGUUUGAAUCAUGAAAUCACCCUCUUUUAGGCAUUGGAUUCCUUUUCUAAUAUUUUUUUGUUUUUACAAUUAUUAAGGGAAUCCUAUCAUCAUCUUCUAUUCUUAUGAUAUCUGCUAUCCAUAAUCCUUUGUAGAAAGUUGAUAUUGGAUUCACUAUAUAUUGUGUAUCAUAUUUAUUAAAGCAAAAUCAAAGUGAUCUCGAGAGAAAAAAGAAACUAAAUUUUGAUAGGAGAGGACAAACUAAAUUUAAUACUAAGAUAUUACUUGUUACCUUGGGUGGGUGAAUUCAAUCAGAUAAAAGAACAUCUAAGAUAAGAUAGCAUUCAUUAACGUCUCAAGCUCUCCAACUAUCGCAUUGGUAGAAGCCUCGAUUCAUAAUACUGUAUAAAUGAUGACAAAAAGGAUAUUCAUAGUAUGUUGUACGAAUGAUGACAAAGAGGAUAAGGGUUUAGACUCUAUUGAAAAGGAUAAUGGAGGAGAAAUUAUGGUGAAGAUGGGGAAUGAGAAAUCUUUAUUCUUCUAA